UACGUAGGGUGCGAGCGUUGUCCGGAAUUAUUGGGCGUAAAGAGCUUGUAGGCGGUCUGUCGCGUCUGCUGUGAAAAUCCGGGGCUCAACCCCGGACUUGCAGUGGGUACGGGCAGACUAGAGUGUGGUAGGGGAGACUGGAAUUCCUGGUGUAGCGGUGAAAUGCGUAGAUAUCUGGAGGAACACCGGUGGCGCAGGCGGCAUCCUGGAACGGCAUUGACGCUGAGGAGCGAAAGCCAGGGGAGCAAACGGG
rnacentral:rRNA from 1 species